UACAGAGACCUCAAGCGUUAUCCGGAUUUAUUGGGCGUAAAGGGUAGGUAGGUGGUCUGAUUAGUCGGAUGUUAAAACUCGGGGCUCAACCCCGAAUCUGCAUUCGAAACGGUCAGACUAGAGGAUGUGAGAGAUCAGUGGAAUUGAUGGUGUAGUAGUGAAAUGCGUUGAUAUCAUCAAGAACACCCAAGGCGAAGGCAACUGAUUGGCACAUAUCUGACACUGAGCUACGAAAGCGUGGGGAGCGAAUGGG
rnacentral:rRNA from 1 species